UUGAGCGGGACACUGUUCAACUCAGUACAGGGGGCAAGAAACAGGGGUUCAGGCAGGUAAUCCUUUGACACUCGACGUGACCCUGGGACCUGUGCGUGGGGACUGGAGUCAGAAACAUCCUUUUAGGGCUUCUCAUCACUCCCAUCCUUUAAUCUAAGACUUAGCAGGUGGGCCUCCCGGUGGCUCAGGUGGGUGAGGAAUGAAUCUCUUCGUUCCCUGCUGGCUAAGUCCUCAGCACGCCAGAAUGAGUUUGGAUCAUCUUAUUGAAGGCUCUUCUCUGAAACGUCUCUGGGAAGAUCAAUGACUAAUUCUCCAAUCAGAGGCCCUCAUCAGAGAACCACAUUCGGAGCUUUCGUGACCAGAUCAGUGCCCUUCAGCUGUGAAGUAGGAAUCAAUACAUUUCAGGGCGCGGCACUAGAGGGGACCCUAUAAUGCGGCACCUUUCAGGGAGCACUCCUUAGGGAAGGCACUAACCACGGCCUGGAGGCUGGAGGGCGUGACCUGGGGCUGAUGGGAGGCUGAGCAGGAGAGGAGCUGUCUUCGACUUUUAAUUGAGAAGGUGACGGGACCCAUGAGCUUCACAAGUGGUCACCUUCCCAUUUCCCCACCAGGUGAGGGACGACGUUCCCAGGAAGCUGAUCUGUUUGGACAGAACAGAGGGGCCUGAGACUAAGCCAUCAUGAUGCUCCUUAGUGAACUCUGGGGCAGUCACCGAGCUUUCUCUGAGCAUCGGCAAAGGCAGAGGUAAAUUAGAGCCACGCAGGGACAUUAACAGGGCUGUUAGCUCAUUGGAGACGAAUCUCAGUGCCGCUUUGCACUUGCUCUUGUGACGACUCAGGAGUGUGGGAUGAGCUGGAAAAAGUGGAAAUGAGCAGGGUGUGAGCCAGGCAGAGCAGCUGGCCUCAGGCCCUAAUUUGGAGAAACACCAGCAUUUAGAGCAGCCCUUGCCAUCCCUCAUGGGAUGCGUAGCCAGCCCAGCACACGUUUUGAGUUAGAUGCCAUGAAUUAUUAUUUUCCCAGAGUAGGUGAUUUCCCUUGGAAUUUUUUUGGAAGGCAACUCCAGCCUCUCACACUGACGGUGACUCAGACCAACUUCGAAUCGCUUUCCCAGGUGGAAGCGUGUUUUAGGGGCAGUGCACAGAAGAGACCCCAGUGAAAGGAGUCGGCUUCACAACCCCGCUGCUCUGCUCUCCCUAAUUAGCUGGGUGACCAUGGGCAAAUCACUUAACCUUCCCGAGACCUGGAUUCAUCAUCUGCAAAACGUGGGCAGCGACACCAGCUGCUCUCCCGGCCCCAAGUCAUGGUGCUCGUGUGAGGCAAAAGGCAAAAUCAGCUGAAGCAACGUGAGGACAUGGAUGAGGUCACAUCAUCAGCUUGACCAGCUGAGCUGCUGCUGGGAAUUACAAGCAGGCUCAUUCUCCAAAACAUUAGCAAACACGGAUGCCCCAAGUCUCCACAUUCCCUGGACGACAAGCAUCAUGCCUGCCACAGGAAGCAACGUAACUAAUUUGAAACUCCAGAAAAUCUCUGAUCAUCUUGUUCCCAUCAUAAGUUGUGCCAGCCAUGUGCAAGCCCCCAGUGUGCUGUCAGACCUAGAGGCAUGUGUAGAGCAACGCAGCCUGCCCUUCAGGACUGAUGUGAAGACCCUCAAAGGGGACCUUUGGGGUUAGGCUCUGAGUGGCAGCCGAGGAGAGAACAGGAUCAGAAGGAGACAUGAGAGAGACCUGACAUGUUUCAGCCCCGAAAGACACCCCCCUCUCCCCCACCCCUGCCUGAGGUGUCCCACUCACCCACAUUCUCCCCUUUGACCUCCUCCCUGUCUUCCCUUCUCUUCCUUCUCCUCGUCCAUACAUCCUGGGCAGCUGCCUCAACGUCCUCCCCACCACCAUCCCAGCCCUGCUGUGUCUGGUGGUUCUGCUUACACCCCGCUCUAGAAAACCCAUCCUUGCACUUGCUGUAUCUAGUCUGGCCUCCCUUCUGACCUCUCAUGGUGCCACUGCUGACAGCAGGCUCCUCACUGGGUGCUAUGACAUUGCUGGGACCUACCCCUUCCUACCUCUCCCACCUUCCAGUUCUUGCCACCCUCCACAACCCCACAUGUGCUGUCCUACAGCUGGCUGCCCCUUCCCGCCAACAUUUCCUGGAGCCUGGUCCCAGGGUGACCAGCAUCUCCUGGGCUUGGUCUGGCAUGGCCACCUACUCAGUCUUCCUGAGGCUGGCCUGGGGCCAACUCAAUCAUUGCCCAUGUGCAGAUGCUGGUAGGGACAGAAGGUUUGUGUCUUCUGCAAAUUCAUGUUGAAAUCCCGACCCCCGAGGUCAUGGAUGGGGUUGGGUGGGAGGGGCUCUGAGAGGUGAUUAGGUCAUGAGGGUGGAGCCCCAUGAAGGAGUUGGCGCCCUUAUAAAAGGACCCCGGGAGUCUCCCUUACUCCUUCCUCCAUGUGAGGACACAGUGGGAAAGUACCUGUGUACAAGCCAAAGAACAGGCCCUCACCAGACAUUGAGUCUGCUAGCAUUGUGACCUUGGACUUCCAGCCUCCAGGACAGUGAGAAGUAAUUGUGUGCCAUAUCAGCCACCUGGUUGGUGGUUGGCCAGUGCAGCCCGUGUUGAUGGAGGCAUAUGGUCCCUGGGUCCAGCUUGUCCCCUGUCCUGCUCUCGAGUCCCUGGGCCAUGUAUCUGGUCUGACCUCAGAGCCACACUCCCAUCUCCAGACUGGACAGCCAGACUCAAACUCAGUACGUUCCCAGGAUCUCAGCCAGCUUUCCUUCCCUUCUCACUCCUACCGGGUCAGGCUUCUCCUCAAGAGCUGAGAGGCCCAGAAGCCCUUAUUUCCAGGCUGAUCCUUACCCCCCAUCACUGAGUUCUCAAGAUUUUCUGAACUCAGAGGGUCCCACUGGGGCUGACUUGGGCAGUGAGGUGGGAGAGAUAAUGAACAAGGCUGCAGUUUGAAUAAUAAAAUAA